AUAAUACUCCCUUUGUCCCAAAAUCCUUAUCUUAGAUUUGUCUAAAUACGGAUGUAUCAAGUCACGUUUUAGUAUUAGAUACAUCCGUAUCUAGACUAAUCUAAGACAAGAACUUUGGGAUGGAGGGAGUAGUAU
rfam:Triticum aestivum genome assembly, contig: Triticum_aestivum_CS42_TGACv1_scaffold_177415_2DS